rnacentral:lncRNA from 1 species
AUUAAAGAGAAGAUGAGAGUAAAUAUUAUCCCUGUCAAUCUUCUUAGCCACAACCAAUCUAGAUCCGUGGGGGUCUGCCUAUAAAAGGAGGCUCACCGGGGUGCCCAGCCUCCAUUUUGUCUCAGCUUUUGGAGUGUACAGUGCUAGACACUUUACACUCCGGUAAACAGGACAGCAAGGUGACAAAAAGGUAAAGAUGGUUCGGGAGUGGUAAACGGGAGCUUCGACUGGGAGGGUCCACAUUGACUGGUAGUCUUGAACAGGGGUGUGGACCAGAGUGAGGACCGGACCAGCGCAGACCAGCGCAGACAGGACCAGACCGGAAGUACCACAGACGCGGCAGCGGCAGCGGCAGCUGUGGCCUCGACCGGGAACUUUAUCGGCCAGAGUCUCUGUUCUAUACAGCAGCAAAUCCUAGGACUUGAUUGCUCUCCAUUCACUGUUUCUACCUGUGCUGAGUGCCUGUCCUAA